rnacentral:lncRNA from 1 species
AGGGAGAGAUCGAGAUCCAGAAAGAGGCACACGGAGAGUACGAGGUCCAAGGGAGCAUAGCUGGAGAGUCGCAGCCCCCACCCCUGCCCGCGGCCGAGGCCAAGGCCGAUUCCAGUUUCAGUGAACGAGUGGGGUAUUCUGCUAACUGAACGAGUGGGGCUCAGCCGAGAGCAGACAGGGACCUCUCCUCCGGGUGGGAGAGCACCUGGUGGACGGUGUUUCCGAGCACCUUCUGAAAUUACUACUCGCACCUUUCCUGGGACACUUUUUAAAAGGACCAGCAAGCCUCCAGUUGACGUGGCUAGAAUCCCAGAUUCAUGGAGCUGUUGCAGAGCACAUCUCAGUGGUCUCCCUAAGUCUGG